CUGCAACCCGCUCCUGCGUUUGGAUCCGACCGACCUCCCCCACGUGACAGCGAGGUCUCCUAACAGCAGCAAAGCCUCCAACUGUGUCACCACACACAGCCACUUCUGCAGUUUUGGUUUAUGAGACAGUCUACCUCCACAAACUCACUGGGACUGCGACAGAAAUAGAAAUGGAAACCAAAACACUUCGAUCCCACAAUUAUGUCCCUCGACUAAAGAUUCUGUAAAUUGAUAUAGAAUCUAUAUCUGUAUUGAUAUUAGUUGUUGCUUUUGCUGCCUCUUUAGUUUAUUUCAACUGAUUGCUUGGAUUUAUUGCACAGUAUUUCCACUUGUUUUAAAUUGUUUUUAUUUUAUUCUCACUUUAUUGUAAAGCACUUUGAGCUGAACCCCUGCAUGAAAGGUUUUAUAUAAAUACA